GUCAGGAUGGCUGAGCGGUCUAAGGCGCUGAGUUCAGGUCGCAGUCUUCCCUAGAGGCGUGGGUUCGAAUCCCACUUCUGACA
rfam:Danio rerio chromosome 4, GRCz11 reference primary assembly.